CAGGCAUGAGCCACUGUGCCCAGCACAAGUUUAUUCUUGAUCACACCACAUGUCCAUUGCUGGUCAGCAGAGGGACUUUGCUCAUUGUGGGUGCUCAGAGAGCCAGGCUGACAGUGUCCAUGUCAACCAGUGCUUCCACCAUUGCUGACAAAGACAAAGGGAAUAUAGUGAAUUGUAUACUGAUAAGGCUUGGAGCUGAAAAUAACACAUGCCAUUUUACUGACUAAUGCAAGUCACAUACCAUAUCUAACUUCAAAAAGGUAGGCAAGUAGUCUAUUUGCCCUAAAAGCAGGAGAACCAGAAUGUGUGGAUAAUCCCAAUAAUGACUAUAAUUUCUAUCUUACCUAAGCCACUGUUAUUUUGGGUUUUCAGCCAAUUGCAUCUGCACUGAAUCCUAAUUAAGAUAGGAAUGAUCACAUCAAUGCUGUGAUAACUAAGCCCUGUGAGGAAGGCUGUCACUGGGUGUACACCUUGUACUCUGAAGGAUUUGCAGGGGUCACUCUCUGUGGCUUUUCUGGGAAAGAAGAAACCACUUCUUUCUUAAGAUCUUCAGUCAUCCUUCAAUCAUUGACAUCUACUACACUGGAGGCAAAUCACUAAGAAUUCCUAUUCCUAAAGUUCAGGCUACCACCUCUAGCUCCUUCUAAGUGUAGGAAAUGUUCCCUAUUCUUUUGAAAACACAAUUCUAGUCUUUUUCUAUUCUGCUUUGUUCCAGCAUUCAAAUCUUAGUCCUUGAGAUCUGUCAUCUUUCCCAGAGGCUCUAAAUAUGUCCUUACCUCUUUCAAUUUGGCAAACAUCUUCACUUGACCCUACGACACUUUCCAAAUCUAUAGACAAAUGAGUCGUUCUACACCUAUUGUCUUCUUGUUUUCCUUUUCUGAAACCCCUGUGAUGAGGCUUCUGUUUGUACCAUUCUACUUAAACUGUCUAAAAAGCCAUUAAUGGCUUAUCAAGAAGCGUUUGUCUAAAACUCUGGAAUUUCCUGGAAACAUGCUUUCGUAUAUUUCACGUAGCGGAAUGGAUAACAGUACCAGAUAAAAACAGUCAUAGAUGUAGUAAAAUAUAGUAGAGUCCUUUCUGCAUUUGGGUCGUAUGGGAAUGCUUUCCGAUCUGCUACAGGUAAAAUCACAUGUCUGUCAGCUCCUGCCCCAAAACACAGGAGCCAUCUGCAGUACAAGGCUGACAUAUUUGUUUCUCUAAAUGAGCUAUAUUUUGCAACACACACAUUCCAUCUGUAAUCCAGAGUGUUUUAGUGUGUGUAGGUGUGACCUAGAAGCAGGCACAGUUCAUUAAAAAACAAAAAGCACCAAAACCUUUUACAGGUUAUUCUCACAGAUAAAAAUUCUAUAGACUACCAACAGAGGAAGUCUUUAUUGUUCCUGGAGAGCUAGACCAUACACAGAUGGAUCAUACUUGCUCUUUGCAAUCUCAUUCAGAAGCAGGAAAAAGGGACGGUAUUGGAUUUGAAUAUGAAGGACAAAAGCAGCUCUGGAGACACCAAGUAAUAGUCUACGUUACAGGUUUAACACAUUCAUUUAAUCUCACUGGGAAAAAUAAUGAAACUGGUGAAAAGUAUUUAUGGAACUGGAUGAGAGCAUAUUUUGCUGGUUUUACUUUAUGUUUGAAGUUUUAGGUAUAGCUAUGCCCAUAAAUACUGAAAUGCCUAGCAUAAAGAACGCAGCCUGGGGCAUACCCCAUAAAACUUACAGUGCAAUUAAAUGAGCAAUUUCCACUGGAAAUAAAACGGACAUGUUGAGUGGAAUAUGAAUUAAACUGCAUAUGACUCAGGCCUUCACUAGGCUUUAGAGAGAGAUCUACUGGUUUCAGUAGCACCUGAUGCCAUCCAUCUAUAGGUCAAGGCCAGUAAGUAACAAAAGAUAACUGUAGUUAGCAUGAAGAUUAGGGCAUACCAAAUUGUGGUUAAUGUAGUUUCCCUGUGAAAGAGCCCAGCAAAAUUACAACUGAUAACAAAGGAUUAAACCUGACCUUUCUUUACACUGCAGACAUAUUGAGCUUCUGCAUUGUUUGCUAUGCAGCAUUUUUGACACUUCCCUCAAACUUCAUUUUCACUUUCUGAAUGUUCUCUCUCAGACCAAAGUCACCCAGGUGCCAUUAUAAAAGAGUUUCUAAGGGAGAUUUCAACUAGAAAAUGAAAAAGCCACCAAAACAAACAUUGGUUUGCAUUCCAGACCACUUUCUGCUCUUGUUCAUUUCUGGGAUCUUACUUGGAGAUUAAAGGGUAAUGAUUCGCUGAUACCCUGAGGGAAAACCAGUUCAGGAGCAGCCUUUGAAAAAACACAUGUAGAAAUCUUGCUGAUAGAGGGAGAAAACAAGUUUCAAUCUUAUUUGUAGUGUAGGGUAAAGCAAGUCCACCCAAGAUAAAGCUUAGCAUUCUUUCUUUGAGGAAUUAGGGUAAGGGUGAAGAAAAGAAAGCUUGAUAUUUUUCUGCCUAUGAAAGCCAGAAGGCGGCUCAGAGAAGCCAGUUCCUUCUUUUCCUCUUUUCCCGAGUGCCAGACCUCUGCAACUCCCAGAGGAAAUGAGGGCAUGGGGUGGGUAAUAGUGCAUGUGAUUGGAAUGAGUAUUCCCAGCCAUUUAAUAUAUUCACAAGUCAAACUAUAAAGUAUUUCUUUAAAAAAAUUAUAGUAUUUCACUGAAGUUUGAAUGUACUUUCUCUUGCCAAAAUAAUCAGUGUCCUUCAUUUUUCUAAUGAUUAAAAAUGUGCUACAUAUAUAGGGAAUUUUUCCAAAUGAAAAAUAACAUUUUCUAUGGCAGCACAUACAGUGCUUGAAUUUUUCACCUUAGAUUGUAUUCUAGCCAGACCUAAACUCAGUAUGUCUUACUUGUAUAAUGAUAAUUCAUGUCGUCAAACCAAAUGCACUGUUUGCUACUCAUUUGCCCAGAAGCCAUCUUUUCCUAAAGUGAGCAAUAUUAGGUGCAUUUGUCUGGCUGGCCGAGGGCUCCUCCCUACAGCUUCUGCAGCCAUGGAAAAGUCUGGAAGGACAGUGUUCGCUUGUACAAGAAGAGGGAAGGACAGCAUGAGAAAAGCAAAAUCUUGCAGCGUCUGUGGUCGGAAGAAGAAAGCUGAAGCUAGUUAGGAGGAAGGAGUGUGUGAGUGAAUUAGGAGCUGAAGCAGUAAAGUAGCUUUCCCUGUGACCCUGAUGUGUCGGGCAUUUAUUUCUGUCUUAGACUAAAGGCAUAAUAAAAAAGGCACUUUAUUUAGGUUAACAGAGCAUUAUAUAACUGGAAAGUUUUACAGUUUUAUAUAUAUAGUGAAUAGUUUGUAGAGGAUAAAAAGACUUCCCUUUGGUUUAUUAUUUGGGUAAGAUAAAAACCCACGAAUUCUUUAAGGAUGCAUUUCUUUCUUUUUCUUUUUUCUGCCUUUUUUUUUUUUUAAGACAAAAGCCUGAAGGCAUAAAAUGGAGUUAUUUUCAUCGGGAUGUCACCCUCGAUGCCGCUGCUUUACUACAUGUUCAUAGUCAAAAUUAUUUGAUGUUUCCCUCGAAUAGCUACGAUCAGUUUGAAAACAGCUUUGUUAAUUAGCAAGAGAUGACGCAAUAUAUCACUGCAUCUUUAGGGCUCUGGCGCCAGCUAGUGGUGGGAGAGGGGAGCCGCCCUGUCGCUCUCAAAUCUGGGAAGGCGUCGGUCUUCUCGCCUCCCGUUAUCCCUCAUCCUCCUCCAUCAGCAUAAUGGGGGAAUCAUUGCAGUGUGGACAGAGAGGAGUAGACGAGAUUAUAGAUGAAAGUAGAGAAAAACGGUGGGCAGGGGCAGGGAGAGGAAAGGCCAGACAAAUGCAAUCAUUUCUCCAAAGGAUUUGAGAAGAGAUCAUUUAUUUGAAAUAUUCCUGCCAUGUUGAUGGAGCAGCUCAAUCUUUUGCCAGUGAAUUUUUAGCGUUUUGUUUUUCAUUUGUAGAUUUGCUUGAACAUAUACUUAGGACACGUUAUAACCAUGGAACUCAUCACAAACACAGCACUGAGGACAUGUUAUUACACGCUUGUGAAAUAGCACAAUCUUCCUUCGCAGAGUGAUGCUGGAAUCCUCGACAGACCCUCUCCUCAGGAGACAUUGGCACAGUAUGAGGGGGACACAUCUGCCGGCAA